GUGGUGUACUUAGGUUUAAAUGCUUAUUUUAUGGUAUGUACAUUGGUUUUAUUUCUAAAAAUUAGGAAAUUACAUCUGAGCUUUAAAAUUUGUAAUGGUGCCAAACUUUAGUGUUCGUAGGCAACUCAAAUAUCUCUGCUUAGAGUCUCCAGCUGUGUCAUCAGAAUGAAAAAUUGAGAUGCUUCUGUCAUUUUAUUGCAGUGUAAUAUAAAUUACAGGAGAAGCAAAUUACAGCUGAGUAGGCCUUAACUCAUAAUUCUUAGGAAGGAAAGCAGCAGAACCCUGGUACUGGGAUCAAAGAAGAUACGAUGGUACACAGAUGAAUUUGCCUUGGCUGUGAAAUUCACCAGGCGGACAGAGAGGACCCAAGGCUGAGCCUGCAGCGGUAGAGGUGUGGCUUUGAGGGGAGGAGGGACACUGUCUGGGGUUAGGAUUUCAGUCUUUACUAAUCAGCUGCU
rnacentral:lncRNA from 1 species